UUGGAACUGGAGAAAUUUAUUCUUAUAAAGAGGUUAUAACUCAAUAGAGGUAUAGUACAAAAAUUAUUAUCUUUACUUAAUUAUCCCUAAUGCAAGUGACAUAGAGGUAAAUUAUGUCAUGUAUUAAUAAUGAAAUGGAUGUUAAUGUCUUCAUCAAACAUCCAAGUGAACGACAAGUUGGGUAUGCUUUAACUGAAGAAGAAAUUAUCGAUGCAAUUAGACAAGAAGAGCAAGGGGAUAAUCCUGAGGAUGACAGUACAAAAAUACAAAAAGUUGUAUGCCAGGAAGCUAUAAACAUACUUGAGAAGUUAGAAAUAUUUUGACUUCAAGAAGAAGAUGUCUAUGCUGACCAAUUAAUACAUACCCAUAAGUUGAAAGAUAUGGUUGCAACUUUAAAGAACAAAUCAUUGUCAGCAACUUUAGAAAGAUAUUUUGUUCCAUCUUAAUUAUUUAAUGUAACAUGUCAUAUAUUUUUGGAAUAUUAUUACUAUGUGGAGGUAAGUUUAUUUAAAGCGUGAACUGCAAAAAUAUA
rnacentral:lncRNA from 1 species